CCUACGGGAGGCAGCAGUGGGGAAUAUUGGACAAUGGGCGAAAGCCUGAUCCAGCCAUGCCGCGUGUGUGAAGAAGGCCUUCGGGUUGUAAAGCACUUUCAGUGGGGAAGAAAGCCUUGGGGCUAAUACCCUCGAGGAAGGACAUCACCCACAGAAGAAGCACCGGCUAACUCCGUGCCAGCAGCCGCGGUAAUACGGAGGGUGCGGGCGUUAAUCGGAAUUACGGGGCGUAAAGCGCGCGUAGGCGGUCUGAUAAGCCGGUUGUGAAAGCCCCGGGCUCAACCUGGGAACGGCAUCCGGAACUGUCAGGCUAGAGUGCAGGAGAGGAAGGUAGAAUUCCCGGUGUAGCGGUGAAAUGCGUAGAGAUCGGGAGGAAUACCAGUGGCGAAGGCGGCCUUCUGGACUGACACUGACGCUGAGGUGCGAAAGCGUGGGUAGCAAACAGGAUUAGAUACCCCAGUAGUC
rnacentral:rRNA from 1 species